ACCCAAUUAGUGAUAGAGUCAUCAAGUAGUUCUGUCAGCCAAAGAGGUGCUUUCUUGGACAAUGAGAACGGAAACAACCAAAGUAUGUUGGCAUCUGGACUAACACCUUGCAACUUGUAAGCUUUGCAUAUUCCUAGGACAUUCAAUGGUGAAGGUUUGGAUCAUCUCCAGUAGCUCCUCCGAACAAUCCCUUCACAUUUAACAACUAUAUCAUAGUACUUGUUAUGUCAAACAUGGCACCAGGAGCCAGCGAAGCUGGUACUAUGGCACCUAUAACACCUAUUUCUUUAAUAUUAGUGUCCUCCUCAUCAUGUGUGACAUAUCACAGAGCUGGUCGUUGACUAUAGCUCUCAUGUCAUUGGUUCCUACAGGCAACAUUAGCAAGAGCUGCAACAGUUUCACGACACCUAGCUUCUUCAACCUCCGCAACUAGUUGGGUUGCUUCAACUCUUAGAGCCUUAUCCAUGUUGUCAAGAUCUUGCUCUUGAAUAUCUUGCUGUUGAAUACCUGUGUUAAAUCUCAUUUUUACUAAGAUAAAAUGUAAGUUCACAAGAGUCCACCACUAUAACACGGACCUGAUCAAGUACCAGAUCCCUAUAUAAUGAUAUUCAACAACAAUAAAAACAUAAUGAAGACAACAUAAAAGUAAAAGACAGAGGAUGUUUACAUGGAAACCUCCUUACUCAAGGAAGUGAAACCACGACCUACCCAAGUAGGAUUUCGCCAACAACUUCACUAAUCAUCAAGAAUUAAGCUAUUACAACCUUAUGCAAUCUAGGAACUAAACUCUUAAUUCCUAACCGUUUUGGAGUAAUUUAAUGCAACAUUUCUUCAUAAUACCUCUACUGUGACAUACCUCAUUAGCUACCUCUAACUAAACUUAGUCUAGAAAUCAACCUUUUAAUUCCUAACCCCUUACAAUAACUCCACUCCAAUACUUCUUCACAAUAACUCUAAAGUGAAGACUCCAAUAGCUGACACCAGCUACUCACCUUAUCGAAAGAAAUUAAAAACAACUAACCACACAGUACUUCAGAAUAAGGAGCGAUGGUACAAUUUAAGCUCAGGAUACAAAGAUUUGAUCAACCUAGAACUAGUAGAUUCUUCACUAUGAGCAAGCUAGUUUCUAGGUUGUUGAAGGUUUGUCUUCAAUAGUGAAAACUAGCCGUUUAUGCAAGAAGAAUGUCAUUUCUUAGAAUGUGCAAAAACUAGGUUUCUUCCCAACAUAAUAAUGUGUGUAUAUAUUUAUAUAUAUGAGGAUGAUCAUUGGAGAGAAAAGGAUUUCAUUGGAUGAUAAAUGGG
rnacentral:lncRNA from 1 species